rnacentral:ncRNA from 1 species
AUACAUAUUUGGCAAACUUAUCGAAAGGUAAGGACGCAAAGCUAUGGAUCUAAAGGCAAAAAAUGCCUAUGAUUGCCAGGUUGCCGUU